CAGCCGCCGCGGUAAUACCGGCGGCCCGAGUGGCGGUCACUAUUAUUGGGCUUAAAGCGUCCGUAGCCGGGUUGGGAAGUCCUCCGGGAAAUCUGGCCGCUUAACGGUCAGAAUGCCGGAGGAUACUCCCAGCCUAGGGAGCGGGAGAGGCCGAGGGUAUUCCCGGAGUAGGGGUGAAAUCCUAUAAUCCCGGGAGGACCACCGGUGGCGAAGGCGCUCGGCUGGAACGCGUCCGACGGGGAGGGACGAAGGCCAGGGGAGCAAACCGGAUUAGAUACCCGGGUAGUCCUGGCGGUAAACGAUGCGGACUUUGUGUCGGACAAGCUAUGAGCUUGUCCGGUGCCGGAGGGAAACCGUUAAGUCCGCCGCCUGGGGAGUACGGCCGCAAGGCUGAAACUUAAAGGAAUUGGCGGG
rnacentral:rRNA from 1 species